rnacentral:rRNA from 1 species
GAUGAACGCUGACAGAAUGCUUAACACAUGCAAGUCAACUUGAACUUCGGUUUGGGUGGCGGACGGGUGAGUAACGCGUAAAGAACUUGCCUCACAGAUAGGGACAACAUUUGGAAACGAAUGCUAAUACCUGAUAUUAUGAUUUUAGGGCAUCCUAGAAUUAUGAAAGCUAUAUGCGCUGUGAGAGAGCUUUGCGUCCCAUUAGCUAGUUGGAGAGGUAACGGCUCACCAAGGCGAUGAUGGGUAGCCGGCCUGAGAGGGUGAUCGGCCACAAGGGGACUGAGACACGGCCCUUACUCCUACGGGAGGCAACAGUGGGGAAUAUUGGACAAUGGACCAAGAGUCUGAUCCAGCAAUUCUGUGUGCACGAUGAAGUUUUUCGGAAUGUAAAGUGCUUUCAGUUGGGAAGAAAAAAAUGACGGUACCAACAGAAGAAGUGACGGCUAAAUACGUGCCAGCAGCCGCGGUAAUACGUAUGUCACAAGCGUUAUCCGGAUUUAUUGGGCGUAAAGCGCGUCUAGGUGGUUAUAUAAGUCUGAUGUGAAAAUGCAGGGCUCAACUCUGUAUUGCGUUGGAAACUGUGUAACUAGAGUACUGGAGAGGUAAGCGGAACUACAAGUGUAGAGGUGAAAUUCGUAGAUAUUUGUAGGAAUGCCGAUGGGGAAGCCAGCUUACUGGACAGAUACUGACGCUGAAGCGCGAAAGCGUGGGUAGCAAACAGG